rnacentral:rRNA from 1 species
GCGACUAAGCGUACACGGUGGAUGCCCUGGCAGUCAGAGGCGAUGAAGGACGUGCUAAUCUGCGAUAAGCGCCGGUAAGGUGAUAUGAACCGUUAUAACCGGCGAUUUCCGAAUGGGGAAACCCAGUGUGAUUCGUCACACUAUCAUUAACUGAAUCCAUAGGUUAAUGAGGCGAACCGGGGGAACUGAAACAUCUAAGUACCCCGAGGAAAAGAAAUCAACCGAGAUUCCCCCAGUAGCGGCGAGCGAACGGGGAGGAGCCCAGAGCCUGAAUCAGCAUGUGUGUUAGUGGAAGCGUCUGGAAAGGCGCGCGAUACAGGGUGACAGCCCCGUACACAAAAGCGCAUGUGCUGUGAGCUCGAUGAGUAGGGCGGGACACGUGGUAUCCUGUCUGAAUAUGGGGGGACCAUCCUCCAAGGCUAAAUACUCCUGACUGACCGAUAGUGAACCAGUACCGUGAGGGAAAGGCGAAAAGAACCCCGGCGAGGGGAGUGAAAAAGAACCUGAAACCGUGUACGUACAAGCAGUGGGAGCACAGGUUUACCUGUGUGACUGCGUACCUUUUGUAUAAUGGGUCAGCGACUUAU